rnacentral:rRNA from 1 species
UACGGAGGGUGCAAGCGUUAAUCGGAAUUACUGGGCGUAAAGCGUGCGUAGGUGGUUCGUUAAGUCCGUUGUGAAAGCCCCGAGCUCAACUUGGGAAUUGCAGUGGAUACUGGCGAGCUGGAGUGCGGUAGAGGAAGGUGGAAUUCCCGGUGUAGCGGUGAAAUGCGUAGAGAUGUGGAGGAACACCGAUGGCGAAGGCAGCCCCCUGGGGUUAACACUGACGCUCAGGCACGAAAGCGUGGGGAGCAAACAGG